GCUAAUACCGGAUGUGCCCUUGGGUGAAAGGCUUGCUGCCUAGAGAUGAGCUCGCGUCUGAUUAGCUAGUAGGUGUGGUAAGAGCGCACCUAGGCGACGAUCAGUAGCUGGUCUGAGAGGACGAUCAGCCACACUGGGACUGAGACACGGCCCAGACUCCUACGGGAGGCAGCAGUGGGGAAUUUUCCGCAAUGGGCGAAAGCCUGACGGAGCAAUACCGCGUGAGGGAGGAAGGCUCUUGGGUUGUAAACCUCUUUUCUCAGGAAGAAAAAAGACGGUACCUGAGGAAUAAGCAUCGGCUAACUCCGUGCCAGCAGCCGCGGUAAUACGGAGGAUGCAAGCGUUAUCCGGAAUGAUUGGGCGUAAAGCGUCCGCAGGUGGCUAUGUGUGUCUGCUGUUAAAGAGUGAGGCUCAACCUCAUAAAAGCAGUGGAAACUACAUAGCUAGAGUGCGUUCGGGGCAGAGGGAAUUCCUGGUGUAGCGGUGAAAUGCGUAGAGAUCAGGAAGAACACCGGUGGCGAAA
rnacentral:rRNA from 1 species